rnacentral:lncRNA from 1 species
UGUAUUUUGAACAGGAUAAAGUAAUAAAAAAUAUGCUUCUAACAACAGAUAAGAGGUAAAGUUAUGUAAACAGUAAUUGUAUGCUUUCCAUAUAAUUUCCAAAUGUCAUCCAUAUUUGCAGAGGUGACAAGAUGUUGGAAAUGAUAUCCUAAUAUCUUCUUGUUAGAUGCCAGUAAAGGAAUAAGUGGGGCUUAUUUUUUCUGUGCACAUUUACACUCUGUCAAGUUUUUGGAUAAACCAUAACUUUCUAUGGGAUAAGCAACUGUCAAUGAUAUGGAGAAAAUGACUAUUUUAUUUCCUUGCUCUUAGAACGGAAGUAAUGGAAUAGUUGACUGCUCACCCUCAAAAAUAACACACACCUGAAUACUACAAAACGUGGGAGUUGUGCUCUUUAUGGUGUUUCGUAUCAGACGAGGACAUAGAUAUCUACCAGAAGACUUCCCAAGGUGCUUAUAGUUCCUACAAGGAUUUUGGAAUUUACACUCAUCUGGAAUUAAACCAAAUGGCAGCUGAUGGAAGGGAGCAGCAGUAGCACCCCCAGCCCAGAGCCUUGG